rnacentral:rRNA from 1 species
UACGUAGGGUGCAAGCGUUAAUCGGAAUUACUGGGCGUAAAGCGUGCGCAGGCGGUUAUGCAAGACAGAUGUGAAAUCCCCGGGCUCAACCUGGGAACUGCAUUUGUGACUGCAUAGCUAGAGUACGGUAGAGGGGGAUGGAAUUCCGCGUGUAGCAGUGAAAUGCGUAGAUAUGCGGAGGAACACCGAUGGCGAAGGCAAUCCCCUGGACCUGUGCUGACGCUCAUGCACGAAAGCGUGGGGAGCAAACAGG